UAAAGCGUGCGCAGGCGGCUUGCAAGACAGAGGUGAAAUCCCCGGGCUCAACCUGGGAACUGCCUUUGUGACUGCAAGGCUAGAGUACGGCAGAGGGAGAUGGAAUUCCGCGUGUAGCAGUGAAAUGCGUAGAUAUGCGGAGGAACACCGAUGGCGAAGGCAAUCUCCUGGGUCAAAACUGACGCUCAUGCACGAAAGCGUGGGGAGCAAACAGGAUUAGAUACCCCAGU
rnacentral:rRNA from 1 species